UACGGGGGGGGCAAGCGUUGUUCGGAAUUACUGGGCGUAAAGGGCUCGUAGGCGGCCAACUAAGUCAGACGUGAAAUCCCUCGGCUUAACCGGGGAACUGCGUCUGAUACUGGAUGGCUUGAGAUUGGGAGAGGGAUGCGGAAUUCCAGGUGUAGCGGUGAAAUGCGUAGAUAUCUGGAGGAACACCGGUGGCGAAGGCGGCAUCCUGGACCAACACUGACGCUGAGGAGCGGAAGCCAGGGGAGCAAAGCGGGG
rnacentral:rRNA from 1 species